UGGGGCUGUAGUCGGUCCGAAGGGUUGGGCUGUUCGCCCAUUGGAGCGGGACGCGAGCUGAGCUGAGAACGUGGUGGGACAGUUCGGUCCCUAGUCGUCGCGGGCGUUGGAAAUUUGAGAGGAGCUGUCCUUAGUACGAGCGGACCGGGMUGGACUUACCGCUGGUGUACCAGUUGUWCUGCCAAGGGCAUUGCUGGGUAGCUAUGUAGGGAAGGGAUAAACGCUGAAAGCAUCUAAGUGUGAAGCCCACCUCAAGAUGAGAUUUCCCAUUUCUUUAAGAAAGUAAGAUCCCUGAGAGAUGAUCAGGUAGAUAGGUCAGGAGUGGAAGUACAGUGAUGUAUGGAGCGGACUGAUACUAAUCGAUCGAGGACUUAACCAAU
rnacentral:rRNA from 1 species